rnacentral:RNase_P_RNA from 1 species
UGAGGAAAGUCCGGGCUUCACAGGGCAGGAUGCCGGAUAACGUCCGGUGGAGGCGACUCCCAGGAAAGUGCAACAGAAAUAAACCUCCUCUGGUCUCCAGGGGGAAGGGUGGAAAGGCAGUGUAAGAGACUACCGCCGGCGCGGCAACGUGCCGGGCAUAUGUAAACCCCAUCCGAAGCAAGGCCGAAAAGGAGCAUAAGGCGGCCCGUCUGCUCCAGGGUUGGCCGCUUGAGCCUGCCGGCAACGGCAGGCCUAGACAGAUGAUCAUUCACGACAUAACCCGGCUUAUCGUCCUGCUUG